rnacentral:rRNA from 1 species
AUUGAACGCUGGCGGCAGGCUUAACACAUGCAAGUCGAACGAGUGGCGGACGGGUGAGUAAUGCUUGGGAAUCUAGCUUAUGGAGGGGGAUAACUACGGGAAACGGUAGCUAAUACCGCGUACCAUCGGCUGUGCCCAGGUGGGAUUAGGUAGUUGGUGAGGUAAAGGCUCACCAAGCCGACGAUCUCUAGCUGGUCUGAGAGGAUGACCAGCCACACUGGAACUGAGACACGGCCCAGACUCCUACGGGAGGCAGCAGUGGGGAAUAUUGCGCAAUGGGGGCAAGCUGAUGCAGCCAUGCCGCGUGAAUGAAGAAGGCCUUCGGGUUGUAAAGUUCUUUCGGUAGCGAGGCGUUAACUACAGAGGAAGCACCGGCUAACUCCGUGCCAGCAGCCGCGGUAAUAC